rnacentral:rRNA from 1 species
AUAUUGGUGGGGUCCUGUGUCUAGAAGAGUUCGCAGUUGUUCCCCGGACAACCCGUACCGUAAACCGACACAGGUGGGUGAGUGUAAGCGCACUCAGGCGCGCGAGAGAAACCUCUCUAAGGAACUCGGCACAUUAGCCUCGUAACUUCGGGAAAAGAGGUGCUCACUUCGGUGAGCCACAGUAAAUUGCGUUUAGCGACUGUUUAACAAAAACACAGCACUCUGCCAAGUCGUGAAGACGACGUAUAGGGUGUGACACGUGACCAAUGCGGAAAGAUUAAACCAUUUUGUUAGCCGCAAGGCGAAGCUCGGUGGCCAAGUCCCCGUGAAUGUCGGCCGUAACUAUAACGGUCCUAAGGUAGCGAAAUUCCUUGUCGGGUAAGUUCCGACCUGCACGAAUCGUGUAACGACUGAACGACUGUCUCGGAGAGGAUCUCGGCGAAACUGUAACGGCGGUGAAGAUGCCGCCUGCCCGCAGUAGGACGGAAAGACCCUAUGCACCUUUACUGUAAGCUCGUAUUGUGUUCUGAUUAAUUUUGCGUAGCGUAGGUGGGAGACUUUGAAGCGGGUCCUUCGGGGCCCGUGGAGUCGCAAUGUGAAACACCACUCUUAGUUAAUUAGGAUUCUAACCCCGAUUUCUGUGAAGCCAGACGGGGGACAGUGCGUGCGGGUCAGUUUGACUGGGGCGGUUUCCUCCCAAAGAGUAACGGAGGAGCGCUAAGCUUGGUUCAGCAUGGUUGGCAACUAUGCGUUGAGGGUAUGGCUAGAAACCAGGUUAACUGUGAGACGUACAUGUCGAGCAGAUGCGAAAGCAGGCCCAAAUGAUCCGACGGUAGAAUGUGGAAUUGCCGUCGCUCAUCGGACAAAAGGUACGCUAGGGAUAACAGGCUGAUCGGAUCCAAGAGUUCACAUCGACGAUCCGGUUUGGCACCUCGAUGUCGGCUCAUCGCAUCCUGGGGCUGGAGAAGGUCCCAAGGGUCCGGCUGUUCGCCGGUUAAAGUUACGCGAGCUGGGUUCAGAACGUCGUGAGACAGUUCGGUCCUUAUCCACUGUGGGCGCAGGAAACUUGAGGGGUUCUAACCUUAGUACGAGAGGACCGGGUUAGACGCACUUCUGGUGUGGCAGUUGUUCCAUCCGGGGCAUCGCUGCGUAGCCAUGUGCGGAAGAGAUAAGCGCUGAAAGCAUCUAAGUGCCAAGCUCCUCCCAAGAUAUUGUUUCCCGGGGCGCAAGCCCCCUAAAGACCACGGGCAGACUACCCGUUUGAUAGGCUAGAAAUGUAAUCACCGUGAGGUGUUCAGUUGACUAGUACUAAUCGGUCGUGAGGCUUGAUCAG